UAAGACGAACCGAGCGAACGUUAUUCGGAAUCACUGGGCUUAAAGGGCGCGUAGGCGGGCGGCCAAGUCAGGGGUGAAAGCCCCCAGCUCAACUGGGGAAGUGCCUUUGAUACUGGCCAUCUCGAGCGAGGUAGGGGCGUGCGGAACUUCCGGUGGAGCGGUGAAAUGCGUAGAUAUCGGAAGGAACACCGGUGGCGAAAGCGGCGCGCUGGACCUCUUCUGACGCUGAGGCGCGAAAGCCAGGGGAGCAAACGGGAUUAGAUACCCCGGUAGUCCUGGCCCUAAACGUUGGGCACUAGGUUGUGGACUUACAUGGGUUCACAGCCGAAGCAAAAGUGUUAAGUGCCCCGCCUGGGGAGUAUGGUCGCAAGGCUG
rnacentral:rRNA from 1 species